GUGGCUGUAGCUCAAUGGUAGAGUUUUGCUUUACACACAGGAAGCUCUGGGUUCAAUACCCAGUGCCACA
rnacentral:tRNA from 2 species